rnacentral:rRNA from 1 species
UACGUAGGGAGCAAGCGUUGUCCGGAAUCAUUGGGCGUAAAGCGCGCGUAGGCGGCCUCAUAAGUCCGUUGUGAAAGUCAAAGGCUCAACCUUUGAAAGCCGAUGGAUACUGUGGGGCUAGAGUCCGGAAGAGGCGAGUGGAAUUCCUGGUGUAGCGGUGGAAUGCGCAGAUAUCAGGAGGAACACCAAUAGCGAAGGCAGCUCGCUGGGACGGUACUGACGCUAAGGCGCGAAAGCGUGGGGAGCGAACAGG